GACGUAGGGCGCGAGCGUUGUCCGGAUUUAUUGGGCGUAAAGAGCUCGUAGGCGGCUUGUCGCGUCGACGUGUGAAAAACCCGCGGCUCAACUGCGGGCCUGCAGCCGAUACGGGCAGGCUAGAGUUCGGGUAGGGGAGACUGGAAUUCCUGGUGUAGCGGUAGAAAUGCGCAGAUAUCAGGAGGAACACCGAUGGCGAAGGCAGGUCUCUGGGCAUUAACUGACGCUGAGGAGCGAAAGCAGUGGGGAGCGAACAGGAUUAGA
rnacentral:rRNA from 1 species